GAGAGAAGGAGCUUGCUUCUUCGAUCGAGUGGCGAACGGGUGAGUAACGCGUGAGGAACCUGCCUCAAAGAGGGGGACAACAGUUGGAAACGACUGCUAAUACCGCAUAAGCCCACGGGUCGGCAUCGACCUGAGGGAAAAGGAGCAAUCCGCUUUGAGAUGGCCUCGCGUCCGAUUAGCUAGUUGGUGAGGUAAUGGCCCACCAAGGCGACGAUCGGUAGCCGGACUGAGAGGUUGAACGGCCACAUUGGGACUGAGACACGGCCCAGACUCCUACGGGAGGCAGCAGUGGGGAAUAUUGCACAAUGGGGGAAACCCUGAUGCAGCGACGCCGCGUGGAGGAAGAAGGUCUUCGGAUUGUAAACUCCUGUUGUUGAGGAAGAUAAUGACGGUACUCAACAAGGAAGUGACGGCUAACUACGUGCCAGCAGCCGCGGUAAAACGUAGGUCACAAGCGUUGUCCGGAAUUACUGGGUGUAAAGGGAGCGCAGGCGGGAAGACAAGUUGGAAGUGAAAUCUAUGGGCUCAACCCAUAAACUGCUUUCAAAACUGUUUUUCUUGAGUAG
rnacentral:rRNA from 1 species